UACGGAGGGUGCAAGCGUUAUCCGGAUUUACUGGGUUUAAAGGGUGCGUAGGUGGGUCUGUAAGUCAGUGGUGAAAUCUCCGAGCUUAACUCGGAAACUGCCAUUGAUACUAUAGGUCUUGAAUUAUCUGGAGGUAAGCGGAAUAUGUCAUGUAGCGGUGAAAUGCUUAGAUAUGACAUAGAACACCAAUUGCGAAGGCAGCUUACUACGGAUAUAUGACACUGGAGGCACGAAAGCGUGGGGAUCAAACAGG
rnacentral:rRNA from 1 species